CCUACGGGUGGCAGCAGUGAGGAAUAUUGGUCAAUGGACGAGAGUCUGAACCAGCCAAGUAGCGUGAAGGAUGACUGCCCUAUGGGUUGUAAACUUCUUUUAUAUGGGAAUAAAAUGUUCCACGUGUGGGAUUUUUUAUGUACCAUAUGAAUAAGGAACGGCUAACCCCGGGCCCGCAGGCGCGGUAAUACGGAGGAAUCGAGCGUUAUUCGGAUUUUAUGGGGUUAAAGGGAGCGGUGGUGGAUAGUUAAGGCAGUCGGGAAAGUUUGGGGGUCAAACGUAAAAUUGCAGUUGAAACUGGCAGUCUUGAGUACAGGAGAGGUGGGCGGAAUGCGUGGUGUAGCGGUGAAAUGCUUAGAUAUCACGAAGAACUCCGAUUGCGAAGGCAGCUCACUGGACUGCAACUGACACUGAGGCACGAAAGUGUGGGUAUCAAACAGGAUUAGAUACCCCUGUAGUC
rnacentral:rRNA from 1 species